GCUGGAGGCAGUGGCUCAUGCCUGUAAUCUCAGCGUCUUGGAAGGCUGACGCAGGAAGAUCGCUUGAGCCCAGGAAUCGUGGGCUGUAGUGCGCUAAGACUGGCAUCAAUACGGUGACCUCCUGGGAGAGGCAACCACAAGGCUGCCUAAGGAGGAGUGAACUGGCCCAGGUCAGAAACAGAGCAGGUUAAAACUCCCCCAGUGAUCAGCAGUGGGGUCCUGCCUGUGAAUAGCCACUGCAUUCCAGCCUGGACAACAUAGUGAGACCCUGUCUCUA
ensembl:misc_RNA Metazoa_SRP Metazoan signal recognition particle RNA